rnacentral:siRNA from 1 species
UCUGGAUACCUUUCGAAUAGUGCC